rnacentral:rRNA from 1 species
AGAGUUUGAUCCUGGCUCAGGAUCAACGCUGGCGGCGUGCCUAACGCAUGUAAGUCGCGCGGCUGGUCUUCGGACCAGCAGCGGCGAACGGCUGAGGAACACGUACGAACCUGCCCUCUCGUGGGGAAUAACGCACCGAAAGGUGUGCUAAUACCGCGUACGCUCAUCGUGAGAUGAGGAAAGCCUUCGGGCGUGGGAGGAGGAGCGUGCGGCCCAUCAGGUCGUUGGCGGGGUAAGAGCCCACCAAGCCGGUGACGGGUCGCUGGUCUGUGAGGACGAUCAGCCAGACUGGGACUGAGACACGGCCCAGACACCUACGGGUGGCAGCAGCAAGGAAUCUUCGGCACUGGGCGCAAGCCUGACCGAGCAACGCCGCGUGGAGGACGACGGCCUUCGGGUUGUAAACUCCUUUCGGCGGGGACGAAACGGACGGUACCCGCAAAAGCAGCCCCGGCUAACUCUGUGCCAGCAGCCGCGGUAAUACAGAGGGGGCAAGCGUUGUCCGGAUUUACUGGGCGUACAGCGCGCGCAGGCGGACCGCGACGUGCCGUGUGACAAGCCACCGCUCACCGGUGGAGGGCCAUGGUACACGAGCGGUCUGGAGGCAGGGAGAGGGAUGUGGAAUGCCCGGUGGAGCGGUGAAAUGCGUAGAGAUCGGGCGGAACACCAGUAGCGAAGGCGGCUCGCUGGGCCACACCUGACGCUGAGACGCGAAAGCUAGGGGAGCGAACAGGAUUAGAUACCCCGGUAGUCC